GAGGCGUGCGGCGGCGCGAGGCUAGGGCAUGCGGCAAGUGUGGCCGCGGUGGGGAGCGUCUCCAGCAAGGGGCCAAGCGGCUGGUAGGGGCGUGGGGCCCAAGGGAAGCGAUGGGGGCAAUGGCGGCGGCCGGUGGGAUGCAGCUCGCCCCACGGCGGCGGGGUGCGGCUCGGGCGGGAUUUCUUUUUUUAUUUUUUAAUACUCCUUUAGUACCGGUUAUUUACCCGAUACUAAAGGCCCCCCGUUUAGUACCGAAGUAGCAGUGCCGGUUACACAACUGGUACUAAGGGGGCUUAGGAAUCGGUACCGAAGGCGCUUUCCCAGCAGAAGCCUAUCA
rnacentral:lncRNA from 1 species